rnacentral:rRNA from 1 species
GACGGAAGGUGCAAGCGUUGCUCGGAAUCACUGGGCGUAAAGGGUGCGUAGGCGGCCGUGCAAGUCUGGCGUGAAAGCCCCGGGCUCAGCCCGGGAAGUGCGCUCGAAACUGCGCGGCUCGAGUGCCGGAGGGGAGAGUGGAAUUCCUGGUGUAGCGGUGAAAUGCGUAGAUAUCAGGAGGAAUACCGGUGGCGAAAGCGACUCUCUGGACGGCAACUUACGCUGAGGCACGAAAGCGUGGGGAGCAAACAGG